GACAGAGGGUGCUAGCGUUGUUCGGAAUGACUGGGCGUAAAGGGCGCGUAGGUGGCCCGGUCAGUUCGUGGUGAAAGCGCGGGGCUCAACCCUGCGUCGGCCAUGAAUACUGCCGCGGCUGGAGCACUGUAGAGGCAGGCGGAAUUCCGGGUGUAGCGGUGGAAUGCGUAGAGAUCCGGAAGAACACCGGUGGCGAAGGCGGCCGUGCUGGGCAG
rnacentral:rRNA from 1 species